rnacentral:rRNA from 1 species
UAAUACAUGCAAGUCGAGGGGCAUCGCGGGGUAGCAAUACUCUGGCGGCGACCGGCACACGGGUGCGGAACACGUACAGAACCUUCCUUUAAGUGGGGGAUAGCCCGGAGAAAUCCGGAUUAAUACCCCGUAAUAUUAUUGAGUGGCAUCAUUUGAUAAUUAUAGAUUUAUCGCUUAGAGAUGGCUGUGCGUCUGAUUAGGUAGUUGGUUGAGGUAACGGCUCACCAAGCCUUCGAUCAGUAACUGGUGUGAGAGCACGACCAGUCACACGGGCACUGAGACACGGGCCCGACUCCUACGGGAGGCAGCAGUAAGGAAUAUUGGUCAAUGGACGCAAGUCUGAACCAGCCAUGCCGCGUGAAGGAUGAAGGCCCUCUGGGUUGUAAACUUCUUUUAUUUGGGAAGAAACCACUUUUUUUUAAGGGUGUUGACGGUACCAGAGGAAUAAGCACCGGCUAACUCCGUGCCAGCAGCCGCGGUAAUACGGAGGGUGCAAGCGUUAUCCGGAUUCACUGGGUUUAAAGGGUGCGUAGGUGGGCUUGUAAGUCAGUGGUGAAAUCUCCGUGCUUAACAUGGAAACUGCCAUUGCUACUAUAGGUCUUGAAUUUUCUGGAGGUUAGCGGAAUAUGUCAUGUAGCGGUGAAAUGCUUAGCUCUGACAUAGAACACCAAUUGCGAAGGCAGCUAGCUACAGGGAUAUUGACACUGAGGCACG